CCUAUAAGACUGGGAAACUUCGGGAAACCGGAGCUAAUACCGGAUAACAUUUAGAACCGCAUGGUUCUAAAGUGAAAGAUGGUUUUGCUAUCACUUAUAGAUGGACCCGCGCCGUAUUAGCUAGUUGGUAAGGUAACGGCUUACCAAGGCGACGAUACGUAGCCGACCUGAGAGGGUGAUCGGCCACACUGGAACUGAGACACGGUCCAGACUCCUACGGGAGGCAGCAGUAGGGAAUCUUCCGCAAUGGGCGAAAGCCUGACGGAGCAACGCCGCGUGAGUGAUGAAGGGUUUCGGCUCGUAAAACUCUGUUAUUAGGGAAGAACAAAUGUGUAAGUAACUGUGCACAUCUUGACGGUACCUAAUCAGAAAGCCACGGCUAACUACGUGCCAGCAGCCGCGGUAAUACGUAGGUGGCAAGCGUUAUCCGGAAUUAUUGGGCGUAAAGCGCGCGUAGGCGGUUUCUUAAGUCUGAUGUGAAAGCCCACGGCUCAACCGUGGAGGGUCAUUGGAAACUGGGAAACUUGAGUGCAGAAGAGGAAAGUGGAAUUCAUGUGUAGCGGUGAAAUGCGCAGAGAUAUGGAGGAACACCAGUGGCGAAGGCGACUUUCUGGUCUGUAACUGACGCUGAUGUGCGAAAGCGUGGGGAUCAAACAGGAUUAGAUACCCUGGUAGUCCACGCCGUAAACGAUGAGUGCUAAGUGUUAGGGGGUUUCCGCCCCUUAGUGCUGCAGCUAACGCAUUAAGCACUCCGCCUGGGGAGUACGACCGCAAGGUUGAAACUCAAA
rnacentral:rRNA from 1 species